rnacentral:rRNA from 1 species
AUUGAACGCUGGCGGCAGGCUUAACACAUGCAAGUCGAGCGAGCGGCGGACGGGUGAGUAAUGUCCGGGAAACUGCCUGAUGGAGGGGGAUAACUACUGGAAACGGUAGCUAAUACCGCAUACCAUCAGAUGUGCCCAGAUGGGAUUAGCUAGUCGGUGGGGUGAUGGCUCACCUAGGCGACGAUCCCUAGCUGGUCUGCGAGGAUGACCAGCCACACUGGAACUGAGACACGGUCCAGGCUCCUACGGGAGGCAGAGGAGGGGAAUAUUGCGCAAGAGACGCAAGCCUGAUGCAGCAAAGCCGCGUGUAUGAAGAAGGCCUUCGGUUUUUAAAGUACUUUCAGCGGGGAAGCGUGACCCGCAGAAGAAGCUCCGGCUAACUCCGUGCCAGCAGCCGCGGUAAUAC